UCUAUUAAUUAGACCUAUGGAAAACAAAAAUAUGACAGUCAGGUACCAGAAAGACACUUUUUUAAAAAAAGGACACUUUCAGCAUCAAAGCAGUUUUCUAUGCUAAUGAAGCAAAAGCCAGUAAUAUGCCUAAAUCUUUUGAAGUUUGAAGAUGAAAAUAUCUAGCCAUGUAUUGUUUUCUCAUAUUGAACAAAAGACACCAAAAGCAAAAACCUUAAUAUUUUUAAAGUUAAAAACGAGGCAGAGGCAGGCAGAUCCCUAUGAACUCCAGACCAGCCUAGUCUACACAGUAAGUUCCAUGCCAGCCAAGGCUACACAGUGAGACCUUGUAUACAAACAGACAUGUAAGGGAGCAUGAGGACCCCCCAGAAAUCCUAUCUUUAAAAAGCUGGACAUGGGGUGCUCAUGUCUGCACCCGUGAGACUUGUGGUGAGCCAGCCAGCUAGCCUACUUGUGAAAUCCCAAAACAAAUCUCAAAACAAAGUAGACAGCAGCCAAGGAACAAUGCCCGCCCAAGGCUGACCUCUGGUCUCCACAUGCACCAAACACACAAGCCUCUGUACACAAACGAACAUAUACACACAAAAACUUUUCAUCCUACAGGGAAAACACAUACCAAUACAAACAACAAAAGUAAAUAAAGCAGCAACUUAAACUAAAAGUCACUAAUUUGAGUGCAAAGCAUUAACAGCCUUUUGAAUGAUUUGAUAUUAAGGAAUUGUUGCUCAUUUUUAAAGUGUGCUAAAAUGUUUUCUUUCCUUUUCCAAAUUUACUUUGGGGUUUAAAAAAAUCAUUUUAUGUGUAUAUGUAUGUGGACUACAUACAUGCCUGUGGAGCCUGUGGAGGUCAGAUAGAUGAAGUACCUGUGAAUGCUGGGAAGCCAACCAGGGUCAUCUGCAAGGGCACUAAGUGUUUAACUGCUGAGCCAUCUCUCUAGCCCUCUACUUUGGGCUUUUGAAACAGGGUUCAGCCAUAUAGUUGAGAGAGCCCGGAAUUCUCUCUAUGUAGCCCAGUCUAACCUCAGACUCAGAACCCUACUUCAGCCUCCUGAACACAGGAUUACAUGUGUGAGCCACCACAUCGGGCUAAGAACCCUUAUCCUUUAGAUGAAGGUACUGAUGUAUCUACAGAUGAACCUUCAAAACCAACGAGGAGGGGAUGAAAGCUACAGAAAAUACAAAACCGGCUGUGUUAACUACCGAAGCCGGGCCAUAGAGUCUCAUUUUGUUAUUUGCUUGAAACUUUCCACAGAAAAAAAUUUAUUAGGCCUGGAGAAUGGCUUAGUAGUCAAGAGCAUUCCUACAGAGGACCCAUGUUCGAUUCACAGUUCCUACAUGGCGGCUAACAACCCUUUGUAACUAACUCCAGUUCCAGGGGACUCUGCCCUUUUUCCGGGUCUCCAUGGGCACUGCACACACUCGGUGCACAAACAUACACGCAAGCAAAAGACUAAAUAUACAUUAAUUAAAAAAAAAUCUUCUAAAAUAAAAAAAAAAUUCUAUUAGAAAAUCUGCUCGGUUUGGUGACCUUAAAUAAGUCUUUAAUCCUAGCACUUGGGAGGCAGAGGCAAGCAGGUCUCUGUGAAUUCCAGGCCAGCCAGGAUAUAUAGUGAGACCUUGUCUCAAAAAACAGGAAACAAACUUUAUUAGGUUGUAUAGAAAUCACACCAAUAGUUUGACUGGCAUUUUUUUCUUUUCUUGAAUUAUUGGGGAAACAAUGGUUUUGUAGUCAGAAUACAUCUUUUAUUGUUCACCAUGUACCUAAGGGAAAAAGAAGCAGUGAAUUUAUUUGGGAAAAAAGUAUCUAUCUUUAUAUCAUAAUUUUUUUCCCCUUCCGUUAAAAAAUUUUGUUUAGGGGCUGGAGAGAUGGCUCUGCAGUUAAGAGCACUGACUGCUCUUCCAGAGGACCCAGAUUCAGCUCCCAGCACCCACAUGGCAGUUCGCAACUGUCUGUAACUCCAGUUCCAGGGAAUCUGACACCUUCACACAGAUACACAUGCAGGCAAAACACCAAUGAACAUUUUAAAAAAAAAAAAAAAAAAAAAAAAAAGGCAGGGUGGUGGUGGCAUACGCCUUUAAUCCCAGCAGAUCUCUAUGAGUUUGAGACCUGUCUGGUCUACAGAGCAAGAUCCAGGACAGGCACCAAAACUACACACAGAAACCCUGUCUCGAAAAACCAAAACAACAAACAAACAAAACACUAAAAAUAACACAUGCUCAUUGUAAGAGUUUAAACAGAGUAAAAACACACCUUGAAUGGCACACCUCUUCUCAGGUGAUCAUCUAAGCAUUCUGGAUCAUAUAACCUUCACAUCUGUCUAUGCUCACACAUGGUCCGUAAUACUGAGUACUAAUAUGCCAGCCAUCUAUUUUGGCUUUUAUGUUUUUCUAACUCAAAUGGUAUCAUAGUAUGUAGACCUCUCUGUAACCUGUUCCUUCAACAUUGAUGGGCAGUGAAAUUAUUAAUGUAGUGAGUUACCUUGGGGUAGGAGAGGGAAACAUUAAAAUCUUAGAGGUGCUUAACAUUACAAAACUAAAAUCCAACUUAAAGGUGGACACAACAUAUACCACUAAUCAAAGGCUGAAACAGGAGGAUUUUGAGUUCAAGGCCAGCCUAGGUUACACAGAGAGUUCCAGGUGAGUCAGGGAUACACACACACACACACACACACACACACACACACACACAGAGAGAGAAAGAGAGAGAGAGAGAGAGAGAGAGAGAGAGAGAGAGAGAGAGAGAGAGAGAAACCCUGUUCUUUGUUUUAGUGUGUGUGUGUGUGUGUAUAUAUGUGUAUUUUAAAGAAGUAUAAAAAAGACAGUUUUCUGCCGGGUGGUGGUGGUGCAUGCCUUUAAUCCCAGCACUCAGGAGGUAGAGGCAGUGGCAGGCGGAUCUUUGUGAUCUCGAGGCCUGCCUGGUCUAUAGCGUGAGUUCCAGGACAGCUAGGACUGCUUCACAGAGAAACCUUGUCUCUAAAAAUAAAAAAUAAAUAAAUAAUGCAGUUUUCUGACUUUAGUCUCAAAUUUUAAUCUGUAUACAUAAAACUUUGUAAUCUACUCUCUAUUAGGAAAAAAAACCCACAUUCCUAUACUGUUUACUGAGAAAACAAAAGACAACCUUAACAAGCUGUUCAGUGAACUAAAAUGUUCAUUCUUUUCUCUCUUUCUUUUUCUUAAAGACAGGGUCCCUCUAUUCAGCCCUGGCUGUUCUGGCACUUGCUCUGUAGACCAGCCUGGCCUUGAACUCACAGAGAUUCUUACUUCUCCCUUCAGAGUGCUGAGACUAAAGGGGUGAGCCACAUUCUGCCAAAUUGUAGUACUAUUAAAACAUUUCUAUCUCGGCAGUAGUUAUCAAGAGAGUACUGAGUACAUUCAUCUCUCCUUACUUCCAUCUGUCCUCACAGAUCGACUCUAGGUCACACACCCUGUCGCUCCAUGCUAUCCUGCUACAUGCAGUCUCAUACUACCUCCCUAUUUCCCUACCUAAAUGUCAACAGAGUUCCCUAGGAAGAGAUGGGGCCUGUGGAGUGGAGAAGCCACUGUGUCUCCUGGAAGCCAAAUCAAGUGUUUCAAGAAGGUAAUAAAUUUCAAACCUGCGUCACGGAUGUCUACAGCUAAACUGAGGGAGGAUAUGCCUAAAUAUAAAAGCAAUGGAUGUUCAAAGACAUCAUUCAUGUUACUCCUAAGAGUUAACUACACUAAGGUUAAUCUACUAGCCUUUAGAAAUAUAUUGAUGAAAAGGCCUGGAGAGAUGGUCUAGCAAUUAAGAGCACUUGUCACUCUUAUUAGAAGACCCAGGUUCAAUUCCCAGCACCUACAUGGUGACUCCCAACCAUCCAUAACUCCAGUUCCAUGGUAUCCAAUGCUCUCUUCUGUCCUCCAAGAGCAUCAGGAACGCAUGUGCCACACAGACACACAUGUGGGCAACACACUCAUACUCAUAAAAUUAAGUAAAUCUUAAAGAUAAAUAUAUUCAUAUGUGAAGGCAGAAAAUGCAGGUGCAGAAACAAAAUUUUUACAAUUAAAAUUCUAUAAAACAAAUCUACACGAUAAUACAACUGAAUGCAAGAGGUUAAAAAGUACACAAAAACCGUGACCCAAGCCCACUUUAAGUAGGGGGAGAUUUGGAGGUAACCAGUCAUCCUACUGUAUGAUUCACAGAAACUUUUAAUGAAAAAGAGAAAGAAGCAAAGAGGGCCGAUAGCUCUAAAAAAAGACUUUCUAGAACUAACAGUUGUUAGAAACUGAAACAAACCUGAGCAGAACCUAGCGAUGCCCACACACAGUGGGGCAGAAACCAGUGAGGCAGGGCAGAGAGCUGGGUCCCCGUCCUGCUCUCCCAACCUGCAAUCUGUUUACGAUCGAUCAUUCGCCCCAGCAUUAAGGUGGGAAUAACGACUCAAAUAACAGACACAAGGAAUCACACAGCCGAUGUGUAAAAUGUGGGGUUUGCCAUGUGAUAGUAAGGGGAACAACACUGGCUGCGGCUGUAAUGGUGGCAUGUUUAUUUGAGCACCAGGAAGUAAAUCUAACUAGGUAAUUUUAAGCUUCCUUCCAAGUAAGCUCCAAAUGAUGGUCAAAAAAUUCCAAGACCCCUUCUUAUCUAAAAUGAAAAACAGUGAUUCGGCCACUAACUAAAGUCAACUCCACACAUUCAAUGAGUUAAAAUCCGUAUUUUACAUGAACCUAACCAAGCGCUACACCAAUUAGGACAGCCUCUAAAGCGCAUGGAUGCACAUUCUUUCAUUCAAUACAUCGUCAGUGUAUACUGGACUGAGCCCAGCGACGGAAGGCAGAGCUGUCCCCAAAGCCCAAGGACACCUGGAGAGGGUUUCUUCCCUAGACCAGUCACUUCACUCAGCAUGAAGUCAGGAAGUGUCUGCUCCACAGAAGGCAUCACGCCGUGCUGGAGAAUAAGCACUGUGUCCAAAUGGCGGAUGUAAACCCCACUGCCUCUGUGUCACAUCCUUCCGUCUUCCCAUCCUACUGGGAGAUGCUGAACAAGGGCUAAGGCAGUUCUCAGUGCUACCCUACAGUCUCCAGGCAGACCUACGAUUCCAGUUUAAGCAAUGUUAGCAUUUAUUAUACAACUUUAUCUUCUACUGGAUAAAGAUGAUUUUACCCAGAUAGUGGAGGGGAAGGAGGAUCUAAGUUCCUGAAAGACUUUUAGCUUAUCUCUUUAAGGUUAAGUUUUGCACUACACUUGUGUAAAGCAGCUGGGUGUGGUAGCACAUUCCUUUAAUCCAAGCACUAGGGAGGCAGAGAAAGGAGGAUCCCUGCAUUUCAGGCCACCCUGAUCUACAGAGUAAGUUCCAGGGUAGCCAGAGCAACACAGAGAAACUGCUGUCUCAAACCCCUAAUUCUGUCUCCCCUCUAAAAAAAAUAGUAUAAAGCAUUUACUUUUAUUAAACAAUUUCACUCAAAUUCCAAAAAGUUUGCUUUCUUUUCAAUUUUUUAUUUCUAAUUUAAAAAACUGUUGGGACCAGGGAGAAGGCUCAGUAGUUAAGAUCACUAGUGUUUGGUCUUGCAGAGGACCCCGGUUCAGUUCCUAGCACUCACAUGGAGGCUCAUACUUGUCUGUCUCUAACUCCAGUCCCAGGGGAUCUGAUGCCCUCUUCAGACCUCAGCCGGCACACGCGUGGUGUACAAACUUACACAGAGAGAAAACACUCAUACACACAAAAUAAUAAAAUAAACAGAUCGAAAAGAAAUGUUCCUGGGUGUGGCUUUAAUCCCAGCACUAGGAGGCAGAUGGGGAAAUUGGUGAAUUCCAGACCAAUCGUGGCUGCACAGUUGAGACCUAGACUCAAAACAAACAAAAAUGUCACCAAAAUUUAGUAAGCUUUAUAUUACGUAGCUUAUCAAGAAGUUUAUUUCCAUAAACAGAGUCCCUCUAUUUCACCUGCUCUGGUUUGAGAUUAAAAUCUGUGACCAUGUUUGUUUGUGUUACCAGCUAUCACCGGAAGAUCACAUUCAUCACAGCUGGCAGUUGGUCUGGGACAGAAAGCAAAACCUUCUAGUUGCAUUCGAAGGUCUACACCCAGGAAAGUACUCCAGCAAUAAGGAGGCACCAAUCCAGUACAUCUUACACCAUAACUACAAAUUACUUUGAAAGUGCUUACCAGUUUAUGUUAAAAGUAAAAAAUGGUCACGAAACACACCAACUGUAUUAAGCAAUUCAAACAGUCAUAAACCUAUAGAGCAUAGAUCUUAGGAGUCCAAGAGUCUUAUUUCAUAAAAAGCAAACUUUUAUGAUGAUUAAACAUUAUAUCAACAUCUAGCUAACUGUGAAACCCAGGUACUGGGACUACAGACAAGAACUCCUAUGUACCUCAGAUGGUACUAAAACUUCCUCGGCACAAUCUAGUGUGGUCUUCUGCAAAGACCAUCAACUAAGAACUGGUUUCAGGUCCUGAAUUCAGGUACUAUCCUGUAAGUGAUGAGCCUCAUCUGAAUGAUAGCUGUAAUGUGGUUUUAUCUGUCUUUAUUGAUAUGUUCCCUAAGUAUACUAUGUGGCUUUUUUUUUUCUUUUUUCUUUUAAAGACAGGGUCUCUUGUAGGCUAGCCUGGCCUCGAUUUGUAGUAGAGGAAGUCCUUGAACUUCUGAUCCUCCUCCUUCUACCUUCCAAGUUCUGGAAUUACAGGCCUGCACCACCAUACCUGGUUUACUAAGUGCUUGGGACCGAACCCAGGGCUUCCUGAAUGCUAGGACAAUGAAUAAUAAAUGUUACAACAAGUAACAUGAAUGAACCACUGCUGCAGUUCCAACUGGAUCCCAGACAAGGAAUUCAUCCACACUGGAGGAAAAAUGGGGACUUUUGAACGCUCUUUUCUCUCCAGUACAAGAGGAAAGGUACUCUAUGCCUCCAUUUUUAACCCCUAUCCUAGAGGCAGUAUAGCCUUCUCCUGAACACCAGAGGGCACUGUAGGUGCCUCUGAUCUAAAGCUGGUCCCCCUUGGCACAUGGCAUUUGUGUUGUUAGGGUUUGGGGCGCAGGACUCUAGUUAUUCCAAAGUAUUCCCUCUGUGCACUCACACUGUCUGCUGUAAUUGUGAGCAGCUCGACACAGGCCAUUGGCCUACUCUUCAUUUGAGAACUUUAUUCAGUAAGUGCUGCUGAGUAUCUUGCAGGCAGGCAGCUCUUCCCACAGAGAUCAGUCAGUUUCCUUCUUAUAAAGUGUACUGCUUCCAGUUCUGCAGCUCAAGCCGGUUCUGUUUAGUUCUAACCAAAAUCGUGUAAACUCUAAUUUUUUUUUUUCUUGGAGACAGGGACUAUCUAUUAGAUCAGGCUGUCCUCCAGAGAUCUGCCUGCUUCUGCCUCCUGAGUGCUGGAAUUAAAGAGGAACCCACACCACACAAAAAGGCACAGGGACAUCUUGGCAGUGGUUUUAGAGGCAAGUCUACCCACUCCUUCCCAAUGUUCCACCUAUUUCUUUAGGAGGAAGGAACCGCACGCAGCUCCUAAUGCCACUCAGUAUUACUGAGACUUCAGGAGAUAACAGCAAGUGAUUAAAAGGGAAGUUUUACACUUCUGGGCAACCGACCAGCCAUCAUUCAGGCCUCAGACUCCUGCACCUCCACCUUCUCCAUUUCUCCAGAUCACAUCCACUUGAGGUGACCAAGUUCCAGAGAAUCUAUUUUACACUUUUUAAAACCAUGAUUGCUUUAAAGUUACCAUAAGAACUACAUGGCUUCCCCAAAUCUGCUUCAGGGUGCCUCGAACUUCAGCUCAAGAAAUUCAUUCUAAGUGGUCUUCAGAACACAAAACCAGGCUUGGUGGCUCAUGCCUAUCUCCCUAGAAUUUAGGAUUCCCUAAGGCAGGAGAAUUACAUCCAAGCGAUCCUGGGGCUACCUUGCCAAACCAAACCUUGUCUCAGGAAAGAAAGAGAAAAAAAAAAAUUGCUCGGAACGCUUUGUGGAUUCCAGUGUCAAAGGGAAAGAUGUUGCCGCAGCGGUACAUACUGUACGGAAAUACAUUCUGAUCCGUGGAGAAUCUACGUGUACCUUCACAGCCACACUCGAUUCCGGAACACGAUCACACACACACAAAACACCCCAGUCCCCGAAAACAAGGACUUUCAUUAACCUGUUCC